rnacentral:rRNA from 1 species
UACAGAGGGUGCGAGCGUUAAUCGGAAUUACUGGGCGUAAAGCGUGCGUAGACGGUUACAUAAGUCGGGUGUGAAAGCCCCGGGCUCAACCUGGGAAUUGCAUUCGAGACUGCGUAGCUAGGGUGCGGAAGAGGGAAGCGGAAUUUCCGGUGUAGCGGUGAAAUGCGUAGAUAUCGGAAGGAACCCCAGUGGCGAAAGCGGCUUCCUGGUCCAGCACCGACGUUCAGGCACGAAAGCGUGGGGAGCAAACAGG